UUUAUUAAAUUUUAAAAUUAAAAUAUAAUUAACUGGGGUAGUUAUUUUAGUUAAAUUAAUAUGAAUUUAAACAAAUUAAUGGUAAUUGUUCCUUUAUAUAAGGGAAUAUAUAAAUAGUUACUUUAGGGAUAACAGCAUAAUAUUUUUGGAGAGAUCUUAUUGAUAGAAAUGAUUGUGACCUCGAUGUUGAAUUAAAAAAACUUUAUAAAGCAGCAUAUAUAUAUAGUAGGUUUGUUCAACCUUUAAAAUUUUACAUGAUCUGA
rnacentral:rRNA from 1 species